UGUGGAGAGAGAAAAGGGGAAGAU
rnacentral:piRNA from 1 species